AGUGAGCGCUGGCGAUAGGCCUAACACAUGCAAGUCGAACGGCAGCACAGUAAGAGCUUGCUCUUACGGGUGGCGAGUGGCGGACGGGUGAGGAAUACAUCGGAAUCUACUUUUUCGUGGGGGAUAACGUAGGGAAACUUACGCUAAUACCGCAUACGACCUACGGGUGAAAGCAGGGGAUCUUCGGACCUUGCGCGAUUGAAUGAGCCGAUGUCGGAUUAGCUAGUUGGCGGGGUAAAGGCCCACCAAGGCGACGAUCCGUAGCUGGUCUGAGAGGAUGAUCAGCCACACUGGAACUGAGACACGGUCCAGACUCCUACGGGAGGCAGCAGUGGGGAAUAUUGGACAAUGGGCGCAAGCCUGAUCCAGCCAUACCGCGUGGGUGAAGAAGGCCUUCGGGUUGUAAAGCCCUUUUGUUGGGAAAGAAAAGCAGCAGGUUAAUACCCCGCUGUUCUGACGGUACCCAAGGAAUAAGCACCGGCUAACUUCGUG
rnacentral:rRNA from 1 species